AAACAAAUCAUGCAAAAAAUAAAAAAGCGAAACCUAAAAAAAUGCCAAAAGACUCAGAGAAGUAAUUGAGAUUCUCGGCGUUUCUUCUUCUGGAAAUCACCCUGCUCGGGUAUUUCCACUCUCUCGUUCUGACUACAGGAAAACUUGAAACUCUGCGUGUUUAGAGGAGAAGAGACUUGACCGAACCCGUUCGCAAACUCUCGAGAGCUCUCCUCUUUGUGUGGACGCCCUUUGAGUUAGGGUCAAUUAAGUGCAUUAGCCAUCAAGCAUGUUUGGUCGGUCGGGCCCCAAAGAAGAGUGAUAAUUCCAAGUACGAUGAUGAUCUUGGUGUCUCUAAAAGUGCAAGUCAAGAUGAACUGAAAAAUACAGGAGAAUGUUCUUUAGCUGACGAGAUCAUGUCGAGUGCUAUCAAGAUCAACUCAGUGGAGGAUGCCAUGACCAGGAGGAGGGCGGCGAAGAAGAAACAUGGUUCUGCUAGGAAGUCGACUGAGGUGGUGGUUCUCCCAAAGGAGGUUCCUGUGGGGGUUGCCGACUGCAGCUCUAUUCACAUCUUCCAGGGCUUGCAGGCACACUUUUAUUUGAAGCAGGAGGUGUCGAGCUUGACUGGGAGAGUGAAGAGUCUUCAAAACUUAAUGAAGGAAUUCAAGGAAGGCAAAUCUGGCGAAUAGCGUCCGGAUAUAUGAGGCCAUUGCUAACUAUGAAGAACUGCUAAGGAUGAAUGCUGAUAGCAUGACUUCUGAAUGAGGAUGAAUACACAUGUAUCCAACACUUUUGUGGAGCUUUUUCCUGAUUAGCAAUGAAGUCUCCUUUUUUGAUAGGUGCUGCUGUGUUCAUUUUGUGAGAAUCCUGACUUGAUUAAUUCAGAGAAGUUUUUUCUUUAAAAAUAAAUUUGAAUGAUACAGUUUUUACGUUUCUAGAUUAUUGACUAUUUGACAUCUUUUCUGAAUUGUGGGGUAUAUAGAAUAUAGAUUGGAGUUCUGAAGUGUGUGUUUGAUGCAAGAAUAUCUAAAAGUAGUACAGAAAUAAACUCUUUUUUUUUUGUAUGUCGUAUUAGUCGGGGAUGAUAAUUGAUUAACGUUUUCUUCACAUUCUCACCUUGUUGUCCGCUGGCAAAAUUGUUGCAGAGUUAAACUCAAAAGAUUGUCGAACUUGUGUUUCUAGAAGGGUCAUUCACUUCUUUUUUUACAGUCUUGUCUUUUGUGUAUCAGUUUCAAAGAGUUGGCUCAUGCUUAUGAAGUUCUGAUUGAUCCUGAGAAGAGGGAAAUCUAUGAUCAGCAUGGUGAAGAUGCUCUUAAGGAAGGCAUGGGUUGAGGAACUCGUCUUGAUGGUAGGCAGCUCGCCAGCUCCUGAUCAAGUAAAACCCUGGAGAGGUCAUAAAACCUGGUAAUGGCCAAUGACAUAAACAAUACCCAUGCACAAGACGCCCGCAGUGUGUCGGGGACACGCAAGAUGUAAUGGCCAAUACACUAGAUAAAAUUUUCUUCUUUAAAUGCUGGAUGUUCAAUUGUUCUUUUGAAUUACUUGAAUGCAGGUCAAGCCAAAGCAAUCACUGAUGAGUGAAUGCCUCAAUAGUCAAUACCAAAGUCCUUCCAUUAAAGGGAAGCUUAAUUUAUCUUUUCAAUGUGGAGUUCCCAGAUUCAGGGUUUCUCAGCCCUGAUCGGUGCCAAAACCUGGAGGCAAUACUCCCCCCAAGGCCAAGCAAACAGCUUUCUGACAUGGAGCUGGAUGACUGCGAAGAGACCACUUACCUUGCACGAUGUCAGCUCUGAGGAGGUGAAUAGGAGGCAACAACAGCAGCAGUUCCACCGGCAUAUGAUGAAGAAGAAGAAGAUGAUGAUGAUGAACAAUCGUUGCCUCGAGUGCAGUGUGCCAAGCAGUAAGCUGACCAUAAUCUUUUGUCCGGCAUCUUAACUGUAUGUUUGUUUGCUUUGACGUGCAAUUGUAUCAGCAAUUUUAGUAAUCUUUUUCAUUAAGCUAAUUUGUUAGUUUGUAGCA